UACGUAGGGGGCAAGCGUUGUCCGGAAUCAUUGGGCGUAAAGAGCGUGUAGGCGGUUCGGUAAGUCUGCUGUGAAAGUCCAGGGCUCAACCCUGGGAUGCCGGUGGAUACUGUCGGACUAGAGUACGGAAGAGGCGAGUGGAAUUCCCGGUGUAGCGGUGGAAUGCGCAGAUAUCGGGAGGAACACCAAUUGCGAAGGCAGCUCGCUGGGACGUCACUGACGCUGAGACGCGAAAGCGUGGGGAGCAAACAGG
rnacentral:rRNA from 1 species